GGCUACGUAGCUCAGUUGGUUAGAGCACAUCACUCAUAAUGAUGGGGUCCUAAUAUAGGUUGACA
rnacentral:tRNA from 1 species